AGCUUUGUGCAGUGGGAGUAUUGUACCAAUGAAGUUUAUCCAAGGUGUGAUUAUUGCUAAUUAAAAAGUUGAUCAGU
rfam:TPA: Bos taurus chromosome 10, whole genome shotgun sequence.